rnacentral:rRNA from 1 species
UGGCGGCGUACUUAACACAUGCAAGUCGAACGAGGAGCUUCGGUGUAGCAAUACAUCGGAGCUUCGAGUGGCGCACGGGUGAGUAACACGUGGGCAACCUGCCCUCGAGCCCAGGAUACCCCCUCGAAAGGGGGGCUAAUACUGGAUACGUUCCUCGGGUCGCGAGACCUGGGGAGGAAAGGUGGCGAAAGCUGCCGCUCUUGGAGGGGCUCGCGGCCUAUCAGCUAGUUGGUGAGGUCACGGCUCACCAAGGCUAUGACGGGUAGCUGGUCUGAGAGGACGACCAGCCACACGGGGACUGAGACACGGCCCCGACUCCUACGGGAGGCAGCAGUGGGGAAUUUUCCGCAAUGGGCGAAAGCCUGACGGAGUGACGCCGCGUGGGGGACGAAGGCCUUCGGGUCGUAAACCCCUGUCAGAGGGAAAGAAGGGUCGCGCGGUGAAUAGCCGCGUGAUCUGACGGUACCUUCAGAGGAAGCCCCGGCCAACUCUGUGCCAGCAGCCGCGGUAAGACAGAGGGGGCAAGCGUUGCUCGGAAUCACUGGGCGUAAAGGGCGCGUAGGCGGGAUGGCAAGUCGGUCGUGAAAUCCCUCGGCUCAACCGAGGAGCGUCGGCCGAUACUGCCGUUCUUGAGGGAUGCAGAGGAGACUGGAAUUCCCGGUGUAGCGGUGAAAUGUGUAGAGAUCGGGAGGAACACCGGUGGCGAAGGCGGGUCUCUGGGCAUCUCCUGACGCUGAGGCGCGAAAGCGUGGGGAGCA